AGAGUUUGAUCCUGGCUCAGAUUGAACGCUGGCGGCAGGCCUAACACAUGCAAGUCGAACGGUAACAGGAAGCAGCUUGCUGCUUUGCUGACGAGUGGCGGACGGGUGAGUAAUGUCUGGGAAACUGCCUGAUGGAGGGGGAUAACUACUGGAAACGGUAGCUAAUACCGCAUAACGUCGCAAGACCAAAGAGGGGGACCUUAGGGCCUCUUGCCAUCGGAUGUGCCCAGAUGGGAUUAGCUAGUAGGUGGGGUAACGGCUCACCUAGGCGACGAUCCCUAGCUGGUCUGAGAGGAUGACCAGCCACACUGGAACUGAGACACGGUCCAGACUCCUACGGGAGGCAGCAGUGGGGAAUAUUGCACAAUGGGCGCAAGCCUGAUGCAGCCAUGCCGCGUGUAUGAAGAAGGCCUUCGGGUUGUAAAGUACUUUCAGCGGGGAGGAAGGGAGUAAAGUUAAUACCUUUGCUCAUUGACGUUACCCGCAGAAGAAGCACCGGCUAACUCCGUGCCAGCAGCCGCGGUAAUACGGAGGGUGCAAGCGUUAAUCGGAAUUACUGGGCGUAAAGCGCACGCAGGCGGUUUGUUAAGUCAGAUGUGAAAUCCCCGGGCUCAACCUGGGAACUGCAUCUGAUACUGGCAAGCUUGAGUCUCGUAGAGGGGGGUAGAAUUCCAGGUGUAGCGGUGAAAUGCGUAGAGAUCUGGAGGAAUACCGGUGGCGAAGGCGGCCCCCUGGACGAAGACUGACGCUCAGGUGCGAAAGCGUGGGGAGCAAACAGGAUUAGAUACCCUGGUAGUCCACGCCGUAAACGAUGUCGACUUGGAGGUUGUGCCCUUGAGGCGUGGCUUCCGGAGCUAACGCGUUAAGUCGACCGCCUGGGGAGUACGGCCGCAAGGUUAAACUUCAAAUGAAUUGACGGGGGCCCGCACAAGCGGUGGAGCAUGUGGUUAAAUUCGAUGCAACGCGAAGAACCUUACCUGGUCUUGACAUCCACGGAAGUUUUCAGAGAUGAGAAUGUGCCUUCGGGAACCGUGAGACAGGUGCUGCAUGGCUGUCGUCAGCUCGUGUUGUGAAAUGUUGGGUUAAGUCCCGCAACGAGCGCAACCCUUAUCCUUUGUUGCCAGCGGUCCGGCCGGGAACUCAAAGGAGACUGCCAGUGAUAAACUGGAGGAAGGUGGGGAUGACGUCAAGUCAUCAUGGCCCUUACGACCAGGGCUACACACGUGCUACAAUGGCGCAUACAAAGAGAAGCGACCUCGCGAGAGCAAGCGGACCUCAUAAAGUGCGUCGUAGUCCGGAUUGGAGUCUGCAACUCGACUCCAUGAAGUCGGAAUCGCUAGUAAUCGUGGAUCAGAAUGCCACGGUGAAUACGUUCCCGGGCCUUGUACACACCGCCCGUCACACCAUGGGAGUGGGUUGCAAAAGAAGUAGGUAGCUUAACCUUCGGGAGGGCGCUUACCACUUUGUGAUUCAUGACUGGGGUGAAGUCGUAACAAGGU
rnacentral:rRNA from 1 species